UACGUAGGGUGCGAGCGUUGUCCGGAAUUAUUGGGCGUAAAGGGCUCGUAGGCGGUUUGUCGCGUCGGGAGUGAAAUCCACUGGCUUAACUGGUGGCUUGCUUUCGAUACGGGCAGACUGGAGGUAUGCAGGGGAGAACGGAAUUCCUGGUGUAGCGGUGAAAUGCGCAGAUAUCAGGAGGAACACCGAUGGCGAAGGCAGGUCUCUGGGCCACUACUGACGCUGAGAAGCGAAAGCGUGGGGAGCGAACAGG
rnacentral:rRNA from 1 species